rnacentral:tRNA from 1 species
KUGCUCGUAGCUCAGUUGGAUAGAGCAACGGAUUUCUAAUCCGUAGGUCGCAGGUUCGAGUCCUGCCGAGCACA